CACAUAUCGGAAAAUCUAAAACAUAAAAUUUCAGGACCCGUAUCUUCCUCUGCAACACAUAACCCUAGCUGCGCCUCCACAUAAUUCUUUCUUCUUCUUCUUCCUUUCUAUCUUGGGAGUACUCUUUUUGAGAAGCGAUGGCUACAACAGUUUUGUUUCAGAGGUUUUAAGCCUUCGAUCAGUUAACCCUUUUUCAAUUUCAUCGUAUUUUCAGUUAAUUUUGUCAGCGAGAAGUUAGAAGCUGAAGAUGGCUACCAUUGAUUUUGUUGAUGGAUGUGGAGAUUACGGUUGGUUAUAGAGUUCUCAUGAUAUGUAUCAGGAAAAAUGGGUUUGAUUUCGAUUGAAUAACAAGGGAAACGGACAGAGUUUUCACGAUUACUAUGAGAGUUCCAGAAAUGAUGGAGAAGAAGACUGAUACACUUUCAAGAAGGGGUAGAGGGAAUCUGGAAAGGUGUUAGUUUACUCGAAUCACAAAGAGGGUUUAAUGAGCUGUUUGCAGGGGCAACUAUGGAACUCAGCUAAAAGAUGAUCUUACCAAACGUAAACAUGGGUGACGACACUGGUGGUAGUGGGGCAAGCCAAUAUAGUUUUGAAAAUGUUGUGGGAGGAGUUGUUGGGGAAUUCUCAUAGAGGAUUAGGAGCUGCAAGCUCUUUUUGAGGACUCAUGGAAAUUAAUUUCGGAGGGCAGUAGAUCCGAAGUCGUUUAACGGUGUAAUGGGGCAUUCCUGCACCCCUACGCACGCUAAGAUUCUCCCCUAUCAAGCUAUGCCUGCAUAUGGUUUAUAGACAUCAAGGAAUUGAGAGACACAAAAAGUACCAUCGGGGCAGUAGGUGGGAACUCUUCAAAGGAAAAUACAAGACGACACUAACAGUACAUCAUCCACUUCAAAUAGAUCACUCGGGAGCCCAUAAACUUAUGCUUUGCAAGUUUAAUUAUCUAGCUGAAUUGAAGUCAAGUUCACAUUCAAGUUCAUAUUCACCAUGUUGUACACAUGAUUCUUAUAAUUCAUGGCUACACAUCAGAUGCCUGGACUUCUACUUUAAUACCAAUUGGCAAUAAGCUCAUAUAUAUUUAGCAUGAAUGCAAAAGUUUGGCUUUAUUAAUGCAAAUGUGGUUGUCUGGCGUUGAUCAGCAAUGAUGUACUGGGUAUGUCAAAUCCUACUUGAAUCAUGAAACUUACUUUUAGCAUUCCUGUUAAUUAGAGUUUUACUGACUUACCUAGA